AGCGAACGCUGGCGGCAUGCCUAACACAUGCAAGUCGAACGAGACCUUCGGGUCUAGUGGCGCACGGGUGAGUAACGCGUGGGAACCUGCCCUUAGGUUCGGAAUAACUCCCCGAAAGGGGUGCUAAUACCGGAUAAUGUCUUCGGACCAAAGAUUUAUCGCCUUUGGAUGGGCCCGCGUUGGAUUAGCUAGUUGGUAGGGUAAAAGCCUACCAAGGCGACGAUCCAUAGCUGGUCUGAGAGGAUGAUCAGCCACACUGGGACUGAGACACGGCCCAGACUCCUACGGGAGGCAGCAGUGGGGAAUAUUGGACAAUGGGCGAAAGCCUGAUCCAGCAAUGCCGCGUGAGUGAUGAAGGCCUUAGGGUUGUAAAGCUCUUUUACCCGGGAUGAUAAUGACAGUACCGGGAGAAUAAGCUCCGGCUAACUCCGUG
rnacentral:rRNA from 1 species